rnacentral:sRNA from 1 species
GUCAGGUGUGGUGGCAUGUGCCUGUAGUCCCAGCUAUUGGGAGGCUGAGGCAGGAGAAUUGUUUGAGCCUAGGAGUUCAAGAUUAGCCUGGGCAACACAGUGAGACUCUGCUCAA